UUCUGUUUCCCCUUUUGUUCUACUCUAGGACACCGUCACCUUUCCACCCAAAAAAAGUUACCAGAUUCCGACAACCAAGAAGCAAUAAAUUUGGGUGGAAUUAUUUUUUCUUUGCAUUAGAGUGCAUACGAUCUCCUCUUCAAAUUCCAGGUGGACAAUGUUACCUCUUUCUUGAGGAAUACAAUUGGCUUGGGACUCUCUAUAAUGCAAACUUUAACGUUUCCUCAAGUACUUGAUAAACAUGAUCAUAAAUGUGACAUACGGAGUGGAAAUAACGAUAUAAGUAAAGAAGAGUUAACGUGUGUCUGAUAAAUUUAGUUAGCUUUUUAUUCUUAGAUGUAACUGUUGGAUCCAAUAAGUCAGAUUUUAUUUUGACAACACGAAAUAAGUGAGAAAAAACCUUCAAACUUAUUUAUAUUUUAAUGGGGAAUCCUCCAAUGCAGACAUUGGUAGACUGCAAUACUCAAUCAAUUUAAACAAGCAUUGAAGGUAUAGUAUUCUAUGUUGGUCUUUGAGUUCCAAUGAAUCCAGCAAGGUGUAAGAAAGGUACCUCUUUCCAGGGAAAGACAAUUGGUUUGGCUCUCUCUAUAUUAUUUCUAACUUUGAGGUUACCUCAAGUAUUUGAUAAAUUUAAUAAGAUUAUUUAUAUACUCUCUUUUAAUCAUUAUUAUAAUUAAUCUAAUAUGUACAUUUUGUUUACGCUUAUGUAGCCUCUAUACUUUUGGCAGUGUAUGUAAAAGUGAAGAAGAAACUUUCUUUUCUUA